rnacentral:rRNA from 1 species
CCUACGGGAGGCAGCAGUGAGGAAUAUUGGUCAAUGGACGAGAGUCUGAACCAGCCAAGUAGCGUGAAGGAUGACUGCCCUAUGGGUUGUACACUUCUUUUAUAUGGGAAUAAAAUGUUCCACGUGUGGGAUUUUGUAUGUACCAUAUGAAUAAGGAUCGGCUAACUCCGUGCCAGCAGCCGCGGUAAUACGGAAGAUCCGAGCUUUAUCCGGAUUUAUGGGGUUUAAAGGGAGCGUAGGUGGAGUGUUAAGUCAGUUGUGAAAGUUUGGGGCUCAACCGUAAAAUUGCAGUUGAAACUGUCAGUCUUGAGUACAGUAGAGGUGGGCGGAAUUGGUGGUGUAGCGGUGAAAUGCUUAGAUAUCACGAAGAACUCCGAUUGCGAGGGCAGCCUGCUGGACUGUAACUGACGCUGAUGCUCGAAAGUGUGGGUAUCAAACAGGAUUAGAUACCCAGUAGUC